GGCUGUUCUGAGUGCAGUGGUGUUUACAACUAAUUGAUUACAAUCAGUUAUAGAUGUCUUUGUUUCUUCUUACUCCCACUGUUUCACUUGACUAGCCUUUA
ensembl:misc_RNA Y_RNA Y RNA